rnacentral:rRNA from 1 species
GAUGAACGCUAGCUACAGGCUUAACACAUGCAAGUCGAGGGGUAACAAGAGGAAAGCUUGCUUUCCUUGUUGACGACCGGCGCACGGGUGAGUAACGCGUAUCCAACCUGCCUAUAACUAGGGAAUAACCUUGCGAAAGUAAGACUAAUACCCUAUGAUUUCCUUUGAUGACAUCAGAUUAGGAAUACAGAUUUAUCGGUUAUAGAUGGGGAUGCGUCUGAUUAGCUUGUUGGCGGGGUAACGGCCCACCAAGGCAACGAUCAGUAGGGGUUCUGAGAGGUAGGUCCCCCACAUUGGAACUGAGACACGGUCCAAACUCCUACGGGAGGCAGCAGUGAGGAAUAUUGGUCAAUGGGCGGAAGCCUGAACCAGCCAAGUAGCGUGCAGGAUGACGGCCCUAUGGGUUGUAAACUGCUUUUAUACAGGAAUAAAGUUAGCCACGUGUGGUUAUUUGUAGGUACUGUAUGAAUAAGGACCGGCUAAUUCCGUGCCAGCCGCCGCAGUAA